ACCUAGCCCCGAUCGCAGCGGCAUCCUUUUUUACAAAAAAACCUAGUAGUGGGUUACUACUAGGUUUUUUUGUAAAAAAGAUAGAGCGGAGAGCGGGACGACGU
rfam:Flavobacterium sp. LM5 Flavobacterium_sp_LM5_contig4, whole genome shotgun sequence.